CUCUGGUUCAAGGCUGGCCUCCAGACUUCACCCCCCAUCGUUCCACUGGACAGAGAGACCCAGGCACAGCCCCCGGAUGGUGACCACAGCCCUGGCGGCCAUGAGCAGUCCUACGUGGGGAAGCGGUCAAACCGGGUGGUGCGAACCCUCCAGAACACGCCGUCCCUGCACUCCAGGCACUGGGGAGCUCCCCAGCAGCGGGAGGGACGGCAGCAGCAGCAUCACGAGGAGCUGAGUGCGACCCCCACCCCCCUGGGGCUGCAGGAGACCAUCGCAGAGUUUUUGUACAUUGCCCGGCCGCUGCUGCACUGUAUCCUUAGCGCGGGGCAGGAUAGGGCUGGCACUGUGGGCUGGGGGAUUGAG
rnacentral:sRNA from 1 species